rnacentral:tRNA from 1 species
UCCCUGCUGGCUCAGUCAGUAAAGAAUUUGCCUACAAUGCAGGAGACCUGGGUUCAAUCCCUGGGUUGGGAA